AAAUAAAUUGAUUUUAAAAUUUGCACUAUUGCGAAAAUAUGCGAGUUUUUCCGAAAUCUAGAUCACCUCGACUCUUGCCUGCAAUGCGUAUUCCAAGUAUAUUCAUGAUCAAAACAAGUUACGUCCCUUUUCUGAAGUGAAAGUAGAAAUUCGUGAGCGGUGAUUUGGAUAUUUUGAGCUGGUUUAAGUCUUUAAAUCAACUAGAAUUUUACAUUUAAUAGUUAAGUGUUUGUCGGAGGCCGUUCUGCUCUCGAUGGGUAGCUUUCAAUGAUGAUGUAUCAGUGGAUUUACGCUGCGAUCAUGAUUACAACAGGGAGAACUUGUAUGCAAAAACUUUUGAGAAGAUUGGCCGAAAAAGAAACGCACAGUGUCCAAUGCUGUUGUCAUAACAAUUCAGAUCCCUCUGACAGUCAGGGGUGCAGAUUCAAGAUUGGAUGUUCUAAAUGAAAUUAAGACAGAAAUAUUUUCUGUGAGGAAUGUAUAAGACUUGGUAUCAACAUUAUGACAACACAGUUGUGGGUUAUUAAAAUUUAAGUGGAUCCAACAUGGCUGAAACUUGUUUAAAGAUUGCUCAACUGGAAUGUGUUAACUGAGAAAAUCACAGAGGCUGAAACUGUUGGAGAAUAUCUAACAACCUGUUUUUGAAUGUCUCAUCCCCUUUCAUGGAAGGAACUGUACUCAACUGAACAAUGCAACUGUACAUGUCCAUAGUUUACAGAAAAAUACUGAUAUACAUUGUAUAUGCAAAAACAAAUAUAGUGUGUUAGUCAUUGUUUACAAACUCAUUUUAGAUAAAGCUUGAACAUAUGAUUGAA